GAAGGGGAUAACACUUGGAAACAGGUGCUAAUACCGUAUAACAAUCGAAACCGCAUGGUUUUGAUUUGAAAGGCGCUUUCGGGUGUCGCUGAUGGAUGGACCCGCGGUGCAUUAGCUAGUUGGUGAGGUAACGGCUCACCAAGGCCACGAUGCAUAGCCGACCUGAGAGGGUGAUCGGCCACAUUGGGACUGAGACACGGCCCAAACUCCUACGGGAGGCAGCAGUAGGGAAUCUUCGGCAAUGGACGAAAGUCUGACCGAGCAACGCCGCGUGAGUGAAGAAGGUUUUCGGAUCGUAAAACUCUGUUGUUAGAGAAGAACAAGGAUGAGAGUAACUGUUCAUCCCUUGACGGUAUCUAACCAGAAAGCCACGGCUAACUACGUGCCAGCAGCCGCGGUAAUACGUAGGUGGCAAGCGUUGUCCGGAUUUAUUGGGCGUAAAGCGAGCGCAGGCGGUUUCUUAAGUCUGAUGUGAAAGCCCCCGGCUCAACCGGGGAGGGUCAUUGGAAACUGGGAGACUUGAGUGCAGAAGAGGAGAGUGGAAUUCCAUGUGUAGCGGUGAAAUGCGUAGAUAUAUGGAGGAACACCAGUGGCGAAGGCGGCUCUCUGGUCUGUAACUGACGCUGAGGCUCGAAAGCGUGGGGAGCAAACAGGAUUAGAUACCCUGGUAGUCCACGCCGUAAACGAUGAGUGCUAAGUGUUGGAGGGUUUCCGCCCUUCAGUGCUGCAGCUAACGCAUUAAGCACUCCGCCUGGAGAGUACGACCGCAAGGUUGAAACUCAAAGGAAUUGACGGGGGCCCGCACAAGCGGUGGAGCAUGUGGUUUAAUUCGAAGCAACGCGAAGAACCUUACCAGGUCUUGACAUCCUUUGACCACUCUAAAAAUAGAGCUUCCCCUUCGGGGGCAAAGUGACAGGUGGUGCAUGGUUGUCGUCAGCUCGUGCCGGGAGAUGUUGGGUUAAGUCCCGCAACGAGCGCCACCCUUUAUUGUUAGUUGCCAUCAUUCAGUUGGGCACUCUAGCAAGACUGCCGGGGACCA
rnacentral:rRNA from 1 species